UUAACUAAAGCUUUUAGAAGCAAGACAUUGUUAAUGUUUAGAAGGAGUUUUUUCUAGUUAAU
rnacentral:tRNA from 1 species